AACGUAGGAGACAAACGUUAUCCGGAGUUAAUGGGCGUAAAGCGCGUGUAGGCGGCUCGAUAAGUCUGUUGUGAAAGCCCAGGGCUCAACCCUGGAACGCCGAUGGAUACUGUCGAGCUAGAGUCCGGAAGAGGCGAGUGGAAUUCCUGGUGUAGCGGUGAAAUGCGCAGAUAUCAGGAGGAACACCAAUGGCGAAGGCAGCUCGCUGGGACGGUACUGACGCUGAGACGCGAAAGCGUGGGGAGCAAACAGG
rnacentral:rRNA from 1 species